rnacentral:rRNA from 1 species
CCUACGGGUGGCUGCAGUAGGGAAUAUUGGUUAAUGGGCGAAAGCCCGACCCAGCAACGCCGCGUGCACGAAGAAGGCCUUCGGGUUGUAAAGUGCUUUUUAGUGGGAUGAGGAAGGACAGUACCACUAGAAUAAGUCUCGGCUAACUACGUGCCAGCAGCCGCGGUAACACGUAGGAGACGAGCGUUAUCCGGAUUUACUGGGUGUAAAGCGCGUGCAGGCGGUCGGGUAAGUUGGAUGUGAAAGCUCCUGGCUUAACUGGGAGAGGUCGUUCAAAACUGCCGGGCUAGAGUGCAACAGAGGGGAGUGGAAUUCCGAGUGUAGCGGUAAAAUGCAUAGAGAUGAGGAGGAACACCAGUGGCGAAGGCGGCCACCUGGACAGUAACUGACGCUGAGGCGCGAAAGUGUGGGUAGCAAACAGGAUUAGAUACCCCAGUAGUC